rnacentral:tRNA from 1 species
GCAUCCAUCGUCCAGAGGCCUAGGACGCCCGACUGUCUAUCGGAGAACACGGGUUCGAAUCCCGUUGGGUGCGCCA